CACGUAGGGGGCAAGCGUUGUCCGGAUUUAUUGGGCGUAAAGAGCUCGUAGGCGGUUCGGUAAGUCGGGUGUGAAACCUCCAGGCUCAACCUGGAGAUGCCACCUGAUACUGCUGUGACUCGAGUCCGGUAGGGGAGCGUGGAAUUCCUGGUGUAGCGGUGAAAUGCGCAGAUAUAGGAAGGAACACCAGUGGCGAAGGCGACCACCUGGACUGAUACUGACACUGAGGUGCGAAAGCGUGGGGAGCAAACAGG
rnacentral:rRNA from 1 species